AUUGGUGAGUAACUCUGCAUAGCUGGAAUAUAGGCAUAAAAGAGAAGGCAAGAAAUGAAGCUGAAAUGGAGGAAGAACACACACAUGUUCUCGCCGGGUGUGCUUUUCUAAUGUGAAAACCAAGGACUGAAACCAGAAGAACCACUGGAAGCAGGCAGGAGGCCCUGAUGUGAGGCAGGGAUAUGUGCCCUUGACUAAUGAAGGUUCCUCCUUAAUCUGCGAAGUUUCUGCAAAGCUUGCUGAGAGACACCCACAGAGUGGAAACCAGGCAGAAGAGAAGACUCACAUGCCCACCUCACCGGCCAAAGAACCCUUGAGAGCAACAGCACAACGGAUGUCAGAGCCAGGACAUCCAAGAACAGGUCUACCAAUCCUGCAAGAAACACCAAACUGAAUUUCAAGAUAUCGUGAAAACAACUUACUGAAGCUUGGAGUUGGAACAAUUCUAGCUUAUUGAGGAGCUCUUCAAAUUAGAAGGCAACAUGUUCCACUGAUGAGAAAACCGGCAAAGACAGGUUAGGCAGAAGAAAAGAGAGAUGAGACAACGGACUGUGCCAACAAACUAAAAUUUUACCUGCUGCUAUGGAUAAAAUAGCUUUCUUUUUAGAAAUACUCAUGUUAAUAAACUCCUACAUGCGACAUA
rnacentral:lncRNA from 1 species